GAGCGGUAAGGCCCUUCGGGGUACACGAGCGGCGAACGGGUGAGUAACACGUGGGUGAUCUGCCUCGCACUCUGGGAUAAGCCUGGGAAACUGGGUCUAAUACCGGAUAUGACCUUACAUCGCAUGGUGUUUGGUGGAAAGAUUUAUCGGUGCGAGAUGGGCCCGCGGCCUAUCAGCUUGUUGGUGGGGUAAUGGCCUACCAAGGCGACGACGGGUAGCCGGCCUGAGAGGGCGACCGGCCACACUGGGACUGAGACACGGCCCAGACUCCUACGGGAGGCAGCAGUGGGGAAUAUUGCACAAUGGGCGAAAGCCUGAUGCAGCGACGCCGCGUGAGGGAUGACGGCCUUCGGGUUGUAAACCUCUUUCGACAGGGACGAAGCGCAAGUGACGGUACCUGUAGAAGAAGCACCGGCCAACUACGUGCCAGCAGCCGCGGUAAUACGUAGGGUGCGAGCGUUGUCCGGAAUUACUGGGCGUAAAGAGCUUGUAGGCGGCUUGUCGCGUCGAUCGUGAAAACUUGGGGCUCAACCCCAAGCUUGCGGUCGAUACGGGCAGGCUUGAGUACUUCAGGGGAGACUGGAAUUCCUGGUGUAGCGGUGAAAUGCGCAGAUAUCAGGAGGAACACCGGUGGCGAAGGCGGGUCUCUGGGAAGUAACUGACGCUGAGAAGCGAAAGCGUGGGUAGCGAACAGGAUUAGAUACCCUGGUAGUCCACGCCGUAAACGGUGGGUACUAGGUGUGGGUUUCCUUCCACGGGAUCCGUGCCGUAGCUAACGCAUUAAGUACCCCGCCUGGGGAGUACGGCCGCAAGGCUAAAACUCAAAGGAAUUGACGGGGGCCCGCACAAGCGGCGGAGCAUGUGGAUUAAUUCGAUGCAACGCGAAGAACCUUACCUGGGUUUGACAUACACCGGAAACCUGCAGAGAUGUAGGCCCCCUUGUGGUCGGUGUACAGGUGGUGCAUGGCUGUCGUCAGCUCGUGUCGUGAGAUGUUGGGUUAAGUCCCGCAACGAGCGCAACCCUUAUCUUAUGUUGCCAGCGCGUAAUGGCGGGGACUCGUGAGAGACUGCCGGGGUCAACUCGGAGGAAGGUGGGGACGACGUCAAGUCAUCAUGCCCCUUAUGUCCAGGGCUUCACACAUGCUACAAUGGCCGGUACAGAGGGCUGCGAUACCGUGAGGUGGAGCGAAUCCCUUAAAGCCGGUCUCAGUUCGGAUCGGGGUCUGCAACUCGACCCCGUGAAGUUGGAGUCGCUAGUAAUCGCAGAUCAGCAACGCUGCGGUGAAUA
rnacentral:rRNA from 1 species